rnacentral:tRNA from 1 species
UCUUUCUUAGCUCAGCGGCAGAGCAUCUGUCUGUUAAACAGAGGGUCACUGGUUCGAAUCCAGUAGGAGGAG